rnacentral:rRNA from 1 species
ACAGAGGUCCCAAGCGUUGUUCGGAUUCACUGGGCGUAAAGGGUGCGUAGGUGGUGAGGCAAGUCGGAUGUGAAAGCUCGGAGCUCAACUCCGAAAUGGCAUUGGAAACUGCCUUGCUCGAGGGUCGGAGGGGAGACUGGAAUUCUCGGUGUAGCGGUGAAAUGCGUAGAUAUCAGGAGGAACACCAGUGGCGAAGGCGACUUCCUGGACGGCAACUGACACUGAGGCACGAAAGCGUGGGGAGCAAACAG